rnacentral:rRNA from 1 species
AACACGUGGGCAACCUGCCUGUAAGUUGGGGAUAACUCCGGGAAACCGGGGCUAAUACCGAAUGAUAAAGUGUGGCGCAUGCCACGCUUUUGAAAGAUGGUUUCGGCUAUCGCUUACAGAUGGGCCCGCGGUGCAUUAGCUAGUUGGUAGGGUAAUGGCCUACCAAGGCAACGAUGCAUAGCCGACCUGAGAGGGUGAUCGGCCACACUGGGACUGAGACACGGCCCAGACUCCUACGGGAGGCAGCAGUAGGGAAUCUUCCGCAAUGGACGAAAGUCUGACGGAGCAACGCCGCGUGUAUGAAGAAGGUUUUCGGAUCGUAAAGUACUGUUGUUAGAGAAGAACAAGGAUAAGAGUAACUGCUUGUCCCUUGACGGUAUCUAACCAGAAAGCCACGGCUAACUACGUGCCAGCAGCCGCGGUAAUACGUAGGUGGCAA